AUGCCUUGUGAUCCGUCCAUUGCUUCUGAAAGUGAAGGUUGCAGAAGUAAUAGUGCACUGAGUGGGAAAAAUGGCAGUGUGCCAAUAAUGGCGGACGGUAAAGCGAAGGGAAAAGAUGAAGCAACUUUCUCAAAAAUGAAAACUGAAAAUGAAAGUAGCUUGAAUUCCAGGGAAACUAUAAACCAGCCAUGCGAGAAGUAUGAGUUAUCUGUAGUGAUAGAAGUCACCAACUCCAAUGGAGGUUGAAGAAAGUACUUGUAGUAAUUUUCAAGCGAUUGUGUCAGUUGCAGUGGAUGCUGAGGGUGAAGAUGAAUGUGGGCUGCUAGAUUCAAAUUUGCCUGAGGAGUUCCUGAAAAAAGAAAAUCAACAGAACAAGCAACCAGAAUGUUGAUGAAUAGCAUAGCUACCACUAUGGGGAUUUCCAUCUAUCCGUGGAGGGAGACCAGAGAUGGAAGAAGCUGUUGGUACUGUCCAUAGAUUUACGCAAAUCCCUACCCAAAUGUUAAUGGAUGGCUGUCUCCCAAGGCAUGAAUCAGAGCCUUGGUUGCUUCACGGCCUAUUUUUUUGGUGUCUACGAUGGACAUGGAGGUCCUCAGUAAACUCCUGCAUUUUGGUUUUGGCCGAGGAGAUAGAACUUGCAAAAUCAAGCUUCUGUAAUGAAGGCACUUGGGAUGGCUGGCAGGGUCACUGGAAGAAAGCCUUCUCAAAUUGUUUCAUUUGAAGUUGAUGCCGAGAAGAGAAGAUCUUGCAAUAUUUUUUUGGCUAUACAUAGGUGACAGAUACUUGAAACCACGGAUGAUUCCGGAUCCAAAAGUGCCUUGUUUUGGCGAGUGAUGGUUUGUGGGAAGCCAA